rnacentral:rRNA from 1 species
AGAGUUUGAUCCUGGCUCAGGACGAACGCUGGCGGCGUGCCUAACACAUGCAAGUCGAACGGAGAUAAGCGCUGGUGAUUUAGCUUGCUAGAGAUCCUUGUUUAUCUUAGUGGCGGACGGGUGAGUAACGCGUGAGCAACCUGCCUUUCAGAGGGGGAUAACGUCUUGAAAAGGACGCUAAUACCGCAUGACAUUAUGGAGCCACAUGGCUCUAUAAUCAAAGGAGCAAUCCGCUGAAAGAUGGGCUCGCGUCCGAUUAGGUAGUUGGCGGGAUAACAGCCCACCAAGCCGACGAUCGGUAGCCGCGG